ACAUCCCCACCCUAAAAAAUCUCGUUCGGUCUCUUCUCUCCUCUCCCAUCUCUUGCGAGGGCUGCGCACCUCCCACCCUUCACGAGCGCCUCCCACCUCCCAUCCCUCCUCCCGAGCUCACGGCCGCCGCCCUCAAUCGCGUCGCAUCCCAACAUCACCGUCCUCGAUCGCAGGGCGGAGGGGCUGCAGGCUAGCGUAGAGGCGACGACGCGGUGCCAAAGCAUGUGCCAGAAUCGGUGCACGAGCAGCAUCCGGAGACGCUCCGGGCAGAGGAGACCACGGCGAAGGGUGUGGUCACCACUGCUUCGUCGCGGCUGUUGGCGACGUCGGAGCCGAGUCCGCUCCGCCGGUUCUCCGCCGCGAGCCAAAGCGCGGCACUGGAUGUAAGAAGGCCGGGGUGACAGCAAGGAGGCGGUCAGGCACCUCGAUCGGUGGACUACCAUGGACUUUGAGGCCAGCGACGUCGGCAUCGAGAAGGGCAAUGGCAUUGGCCAGAAGAAGCCGAUGGGCAUUGUCUGGCUCUUCUUGGCCUGCAUAGUCUCCAGCGGCAUCCAGUACGGAUGGGCGUGGCAGCUCUCUGUCGUCUCUCCGUACUCUCAGAUCGGCUGCGUCCACGGCAUAGUCGACGCCCCCUCCUCAAACGCGAGCUGUUUGUGGAGUACGACUACGCUGGGGAGGGGCGGCCGCGGUUCGGGCUCAGCCUGGGAUUCCUCGUCGACUGCCUCAACAUCUUCUCCACGCCGAGGAAUGCAUCCGCCGUCGAGAUACAUACUAUCAGUUUGUAGAACUUGUCAUUUUCAAUUUGUAGUUUGGAUACAUACUAUCAGUUUGUAUGUAUGUCGUAUUUGUACAUAACAGAGGAAGAAUAAAACCCAUUUCUAAUUCC